CAGGGAAGCAGAUCUCGUUGUUGUGAACGACGCUGAAGAACAGAGGUUCUUCUGCAACUUCACCAAAGUGGAAACAUGGAGUUGGAUUGGUUUGACCAAAAGAGAAACUGAGGGAACCUGGAAAUGGAUGGAUGGAACUUCACUGAAUCUAAGGUUCUGGGAGACGGGGCAGCCUGAUAACGGUGGCGAGUUUCCACAGUGGGAUAAAGAAGACUGUGCGUAUAUCAAAAGUGGCAGGAGCACAGAGGAAAACUGGAACGACUGGUCAUGUGAUGCCUCUCUGAGAUGGAUCUGUGAGAAAAUGGCUUAGGCGUGUAGCAUAUUUACUGUACAUGCAUCUAGAUCCAACAGUUUAUCGUAUUAUCACUGUACACCAAAAGCACCACAAAAACCCUGCUUCGUUGUUCUUUGUUCCUGUUUUUAUUUUGUAAAGCUCUUUUGUUGGUGUUUCAUGUCCUGCUUCACUUCCUGUCUGUGUUUUCCCUCCGAUUGUGAUUGGUUUCUCAAUGUGUUCCUCUCUCUAUAUCUAAAGUCCUGCCUUUCUGUUGUCUGAUUAGUUUGGUGUAUGUUGUUACCUUCAUUGAAAUUGUCCCUAGUUCCCUUUGAGUUUCAUCUAGUUUCUAUUUUUAUUUUUUUUUGCGAAACCCUGCAGGCUGCAGCGCUUCUUGUUCCAGACUUUGUAAGUGUAAAUAAAGUGGUUUUGUUUACUUUUCUUCUGUCUACGUUUGGUAAUAUAUAUAUUACUUUGUAAU